ACUGGGCCAAGACUCUGUCUCAAAAAAAUACAUAUAUAUAUUUUAAGUAUUUUUCAAAAUUACACUUUAGCACUUAUAAAUUUUAUAUAUAAUACUUUAUUGAUGGCAUUGUAUAUUAGUCCAGCUUUUUUGGCUACACUAUUUAUGAAGGAUUCUUUUUUUUUUUAAGACAGCCACCAUAGGAAAUAUGCCAAGUACAGAUAGUGAGGAAAGAAAGGAAGAAAAACGAUAAUUAUCUGCAAGUGGGCUUAUUUUUAACACUGCUAAAUUUCAUUUGUAAUUUUACUUUCAAGAAUGUACUCUGGUAGACUGAGGUGGGUGCAUUGCUUGAGCCCAGGAGUUGGAGGCUUCAGUGAGCUGUGAUCACAACACUCCACUCAGCCAAACCUGAGUGAUAAAGUGAGACCCUAUCUCUUUAAAAAAAAAAAAAAAAAAAAAAACCCUUUGUUAUUGAGUUAUUUUAUGUAAUUUAUUGGUAAAUACCUAACAUUUUAGACCUAGUCAUUACCAGUUAACAGAAUUUAAUUGGAUGCAGUCUUUAUUCUUGAAAAACAAAUUAAUUUUUGGAAUAACUUAAAUUCUAAAACUUUGGCCGGUUGCGGUGGCUCAUGCCUAUAAUCCCAGCACUUUGGGAGGCCGAGACGGGCAGAUCACCUGAGGUCAGGCAUUCAAGACCAGCCUGGCCAACAUGGAGAAACCCCGUCUCUACUAAAAUUACAAAAUUAGGCGUGAUGGCGCAUGCCUGUAAUCCCAGCUACUUGGGAGGCUGAGGCAGGAGAAUUGCUUGAACUCGGGAGGUGGAGGCUGCGGUGAACCAAGAUCGCGCCAUUGCACUUCAGCCUGGGCAACAAGAGUGAAACUCCAUCUCAAAAAAAAAAAUUCUAAAACUUUAAGUGAAAUUUAUUAUCCCUUCCCACUUAUUUUCUGUGGUUUUGUGUGUAUAGAGCAUCUUCCUUUGUUACCCAAGUACCUUGAGUGGGUUGGAAACUGGCAGUAGAAGAUUAGAGUAGCCAAUUGAUAUGUAAACCGAGUGUCAGAUCAGAUGAGAUGAAAGAGGUGGAGUUUAAAGCAAGUGAGAUAUGAUAAACAAUGAUGAAAGCAAAAAUAGGGCAGUUGAACCAGAGUCAGCCAGUAGGCAUAAUUGUCAAUAAAUGAGGCAAGUGUAGAAUAACUAAUAAUGAUUGGAAUCAAGGAAAAGAGCAUGAAGGAAUCAGCUCAAUUAGUAUGUUUUAUCCAUGGUUACAUGACUAACAAAGGAUUAAAAAGAAAUUAUUCACUAGAUAAUUUUUUAAAUAAAAAUACUGUUUAUGUUAA